GGGAAAGAGAGAGGGAAGGGGGAGAAGGGGAAAGGGGAGAGAAGGGAAAGAGGGAGGGGGAGGGAGAGAGACGGAUGGGGGGGGAGAGAGACAGAGAGAGAGAGAGAGAGAGAGAGAGAGAGGGGGGAGGAGGAGGGGGGAAGAGAGAGGGAGGGGGACGGGGGGAAGAGAGAGAGAGCGCUCGCCCCCCCCCCCCCCGCGCGGCCCCCCGGGGCGGUCAGGUGACGCGUGACGUCAGGCCGGGGGCGGGGCUCGGGCUCCACCUCCCUCCUCCCUCCGCCCCCCCCCUCCCCGCUGGGCGCGGGCCCGGGCGGGGCCGCGCUGACCGUGAGCGCGCUCCUCGGUUGCGCGCCGCCUGCCCUCCCUCCCUCCCUCCCUCCUUCCUUCCUUCCUUCCCUCCCUCCCUCCCGCCCCGCCUCCCCCGCCGCUCAGCGCCCCGCCCCGCCCCGCAGCGCGCAGCCCCGCACCGGCACCGCCGCCACCAGCAGCAGCCCCGCCAGCAGCAGCAGCAGCAGCAGGAGGAGGAGGAGGAGGAGGCUGCGGCCCCGUUUGGUCCGGGCAGGCCGCCUCUGACCUCUGACCCCGUGCGCACCCUCCCCCCCCCCGGCCGGCCUUUCCCUCCGCGCCCCCGGCCCCUCCUCCGGGAAGCCCGCCGGGACCCUCCCCCUCCUCCUCCCCCUCCUCCAGGCCGCCCUCGGGGCUCCCUCCCAUCCCCCUCCUCCUUCUCCUCCCGGACGCCCUCCGGGAUCCUCCUCCCUCCCCCUCCUCCUCCUCCAGGGCGCCCUCCACAAUCCUCCCCCUCCUCCUCCCUCUCCUCCAGGGCGCCCUCCGGGCUCCUCCCCCUCCCUCCUCCUCCAGGGCGCCCUCCACAAUCCUCCCCUUCCUCCUCCCCCUCCCCCUCGUCCAGGGCGCCCUCCGGAAUCCUCCCCCCUCCUCCAGGGCGCCCUCCGGGAUCCAGCUCCUGCUCCUCCUCCUCCUGGCGGCCCUCCUGGCUUGGGGCGCAGGCCUGGGCCCCGCCGGUUGAUGGAUUACCUGGAGAAAAUGGAUGCCCUCCAGAAAGGCUGGCAUCCCUGGGCUGCACCUUCCCCUGGCAGGCCCUCACGGAAGACGGGAACGGCAGGAAGAAACCAUCUCGUUCACUCGGCGCCGACUUGCUGUCGUUACAGCUACGGGGAAGCCCCAGACGGGAGAAUUGGCCGUGCGACCUUGGGUAAGUCACUUCACUUCUCAGUUCCCUCACCUGUCAGAUGGGGAUGAAGACGGUGAGCCCCACGUGGGACAGGGAUUGUGUCCAACCUGAUGAACCCGUAUCCAGCCUGGCGCUUAGAACGGUGCUUGGCACGUAGCGGGUGCUUAAUAAAUGCCAGAAAAAAGCAGACUUGUUUUUAGAAUAUUUAGCUCCGAAUUCAUGGCCCUUCGCCCCUCCCAUUUCUCCAGUGAGAGCGCAGGAGCUGCAGAUGUGAAGAUUGAGG
rnacentral:lncRNA from 1 species